GUUUCGGUGGUCAUUGCGUUAGGGAAACGCCCGGUUACAUUCCGAACCCGGAAGCUAAGCCUUUCAGCGCCGAUGGUACUGCAGG
rnacentral:rRNA from 1 species